GAGGGUAAAGUGAUGCAUAAAAUUUAGACUCUACUCCAUUGGUACUGAGUUUGUUGGAAGAAACAAACACAUAGUCAUUCAUGUACCAUAAAUCAGCGACUUUCAGAGUUAUGGCUGGGUACUGUGCAAGUACAGAGAAAAGCUCCGCUCGUCAGAUUUUUGGAAAAGCUUUCCUGCAAGUUAAUCUUGUUGAAGUUUCUUGAGGACACACAGAGUUUUCCAUCCUGAAUGGAGUUCAAUUAAAGAUCCCAAAUUGCAUUUCGUCUUCAGAAAAAAAAAAAAAAAAAAAGCCUCACCUAUGAGUGCAUAAGGCUUUGGGGGAGCAUCUAGAAACAAUCCAAAACAACCCACAUGUGAAAGAAGAGAUGAGGUUACAACACCGGGAAGGAAUAGAGAUGACCUAGGAAAGGUGGACCUUGAUGAGAGAUGGCCUUUAGAAGCACACUGUGCCAGAGAGGGCACUAGUUGUAGGGCAGUAUUUUAUUUAGCAAUAUUGGAGAAAUAAGAGAAACCUGUAACCUGCUAAAGGCUUGU